rnacentral:lncRNA from 1 species
GGCCCCCUAAAUCCCCUUAUUUCUAUCAUUUCCGCCACCUUUUGUUCCCUCAUCUCUCAACUCUCUGUUAACCUAACCCUAAAACCUAGCCGACGUCACCAGCAAAACUCUCCGUCUAUGGGGUUUCUCUGUAUUUUGCGGCCCUUGUUAGCCUGCUAUCUCUUCUUCUUGUUCGACUUUGUUGAUCUAUGAGAGAAUCUCAAAGAGAUUCAACCUGGUUUUGCUCAGAACUUUUUCACAAGCCUGUCUAUUGCCAUAAUCAAUGGGAUUAGACUGAUUUCCUUUCGUCUCCGUCAUUUCCAAAAACCCUAGUCCUAUGACAACUUGGGUCUUUUCAAACCCUUGAAGAUCUGAAACGUUCUGAGUAUUAUUUGGUAUUUUUCUACCGAAAAAAUUUCUAUUUCUCUUAUCAUUAUUUGAUUUCAGUGAUUUCUAAGAACUAGUGUUCGUCCUAAGUUCUCUUCAAACAAUUUUCAAACUUUCAAGUGUUUAAUCUGACUAUUCUUUACAGGUUUGAUUAGUUUUUGUGUAUAUUCUUAAAUCCUAGGUCUUUCUGUUUUCGGUACCAGUUAUUUCAGUGAUUUUCCCCUUAUUUAUUUAUUUAUUUAUUUAUGUCAAUCCAAUAUACUGAUUGAUUCUUAUUUGGG